rnacentral:lncRNA from 1 species
GGAGCGAACCCGUUCUUGUGGCUGUUUGGUUGGAGGAUGGGAGGGUUGGGUUGGCUCCAGGGUGGAAUAUUCCUCUCAGAUGCGGGUUGGACUCGUCCGUCAAAAUCUGGCGGACGGAGCCGCUCCAGCCGGGUUGGCUCCCACCAAACACUAAAUUCCUUCAACCAAACACUGAACGGAGCCGCUCUGUCCCCAAUUCUUCAACCAAACACUAAAAUGGGUUGGCUCCGUCCCCAAAAGCAGAAGUGCAACCAAA